UAGGGAAUCUUCCGCAAUGGACGCAAGUCUGACGGAGCAACGCCGCGUGAGUGAAGAAGGAUUUCGGUUCAUAAAACUCUGUUGUUAGAGAAGAACAGCGCAUAGAGUAACUGUUAUGCGUGUGACGGUAUCUAACCAGAAAGCCACGGCUAACUACGUGCCAGCAGCCGCGGUAAUACGUAGGUGGCAAGCGUUGUCCGGAUUUAUUGGGCGUAAAGCGAGCGCAGGCGGUCAAUUAAGUCUGAUGUGAAAGCCCCCGGCUCAACCGGGGAGGGUCAUUGGAAACUGGUUGACUUGAGUGCAGAAGAGGAGAGUGGAAUUCCAUGUGUAGCGGUGAAAUGCGUAGAUAUAUGGAGGAACACCAGUGGCGAAGGCGACUCUCUGGUCUGUAACUGACGCUGAGGCUCGAAAGCGUGGGUAGCAAACAGG
rnacentral:rRNA from 1 species